GAAAGGGAAGAUACUUCUGAAUAGGAAGGGGAAGGGAAUGGGAUUCUUACCUGCCUUGGGGGACUUAAAGAAGUCCCCAGCUGCUGCUCCUGGGGUGCAGGCAAUACAGUCUGUCCAUUUGGGCAUGGAGAGAAGGUUGGGGGACACAGAGACCCCUGCAGCACCAGUUGCUUCUCUCACACCCACUUGGCAAAAUUCAGGAAUUGUUUCUGAUAGCAAUCUGUCUUUCUGAAUAAGAUGAAAUCAAAAUAAGGGCAAAUUAAUUAUCAUUGAACAGGCACAUAUAAUCAAGUAGAGUUUCUAUAAUAGAAAAUAAUUUCAGGAAGUUGGUUUACUGCCAGAGGCAGAGUUGUCAGCAGUUAACAUUUGUCUUCAUAAGGUGCACAUCAAUAAAAAGCAGUUAUGAUUACAAACAGAAUCAAGAUUUCUGUUUUUACCUUGGAGUUAGAGCAAAAUGAAAAGCUCAGUGAUUUUUCUAACACUAAGGUUAAUAGCUUGGCUAAGGAAACCAUCUUGUCCAAUAGAAGUGUGUUAUAUCUUUUUUAACUAUAUUGAUUAGGGAACCAGCAGCGGAAAGGAGAUGAUCCAGGCACACGUGUGUCCCGCACGCACGUGUGCCCCCUUAACCAACUAAUUUACUGACCCGAGGCGGAGGAGGAAGCAGUAGCAGCAGCAGCAGCAGAGGAAACAGCAGCGGGGGCAGCAACAGCUGAUCCCCCGAAGGUAAGAGGGGCGGAGGGACCCGGCACAGCUGAGCCGGAUCCGGAGGGGAAGCCCCCCGAGUCCCAUAUAGCUGAGCCGGUAGGGAGCCGGGCUCCAAAGCUGCACAGCAUGAACAGAGCGCACAAACAGGGAGGGCUAGGGAGGGGACUGUCCCCCCAGGCCAGGGAGCACCCCGGGGCUAACCCUUGGGGAGCAGGCUCCAGCGGCACCGGAUCCCCACAGCGGGGGAGCGUAGGGGGCGGGGCUGCCGGCAGGCACUUCCGGAUAGACUGGCGCGCCUGAUUGGCUGUUGGGGCAGGGGCAGGAAAUUCAAACCCCGGGCUUUAAAAGCCACGGGGUGACGUAGUUCCCAGCACUCAGGAACCAGCACCAGGAAGGAGAGGAUCCAGGCACACGUGUGUCCUGCACGCAUGUGUGCCCCCUUAACUAACUAAUUUACUGACCCGAGGCAGAGGAGGAAGCAGUAGCAGCAGCAGCAGAGGAAACAGCAGCAGGGGCAGCAACAGCUGAUCCCCCGAAGGACUAGGCACCUAAGGAAGAAGCAGCCCAGGGAAUGCCCUCCACAGCAGAGUGGCAGACGGUCACAUCCAGGACCGGAGCUGCUCGCAGCGAACAGGUACCAGUUCCUCCAGUCCAACUGGAGAACAGGUCAAGAGAUCCAAGUGGACCCAGAGGAGGAGGCAUCGAGUGAUUGUCAUAGGAGACUCCAUCCUGAGAGUGAAUGGACGUGGAAGACGGCACGAGAACUGCAUCCGAGAGACCAACUGGCAGCUUCAGCAGUGGUGUCUCGAGGCAGGCUUCGGCUUCCUGGACAACGACCCACACAUCACGAGGAGGGACGUGCUCAGUUGGGAUGGGCUUCACCUGUCCCCCAAAGGUAAGCGUGUGUUUUCUUCUAGGUUGGCGGAUCUCCUCCGGCGGGCUUUAAACUAGGCUCGCCGGGGGGAGGGGAAGAUGAGGGCGGGGGAAGCUGUGGACCACCAAACCAUGUGGCACCCACAAGGACAGCCCAGCCUGAAGAAAGAGAACAUUGGGAACCUGCAAGACGUGGGGCGGCCAGCACUACGGCACAGGUAUGAAACGUGAAGGUAAGAAAUAAGGGGCCCCUUGGGACUCGGAGCGGGGGGGCAGCAAAGGCACCAGUCACAGGGCUCAAGUGCCUAUAUACUAAUGCUAGGAGCAUGGGAAACAAGCAGGAUGAACUAGCGCUCCUGCUUGCACAAAACACCUACGACUUAGUAGGGCUAACGGAAACCUGGUGGGAUUCGUCCCAUGACUCGGCAGUACAUAUUGAGGGUUUUAGAUUGUACAGAAAGGACAGGGUGGGGAAAAAAGGGGGAGGGGUUGCGCUGUAUGUCAAUGAGCAAUAUACGUCAACCCUCAUCAAGACGGAAUCCAAGGAUGAGGAAGUAGAAGGAUUGUGGGUUAGGCUACAUGGGGGGCAAGGAGAAAGGGAUUUGGUGGUAGGGGUCUGCUACAGACCCCCACAUCAAGGGGAAGAAAGAGAUUCGGGGCUCCUGAGGCAGCUCUCAGAGGCCAUAAAAGCUAAACAGGCGGUAGUCAUGGGGGACCUAAACUACCCAGACAUAUGCUGGGAGACACAGGCGGCAAAGUCCCACCGCUCACGCAGGUUUCUAACCUGCAUACAGGACCUCCACCUGACACAGGAGGUACAUGAUCCCACUAGGGGGAAUGCCAUACUGGAUCUGGUAUUGGCAACGGGGGAUGACAUGGUAGGGGACCUACAGAUUGGUAGCCAUCUGGGGGACAGUGAUCACCUAAUAAUAGAAUUCACCAUAAGACGUCGAGUGGGUAAGGUAACUAGUAGGAUGAAAGUACUAGGCUUUAGGAAAGCUGAUUUAAAUGAACUCAGGCGAUUUAGUCAAGGACGCACUGCAGAGUAGGAGUUUUGAAAUGAUGGGAGCCCAAGAAGGGUGGCUGUGCCUUAAGGAAACGAUCCUUCGGGCACAAAGCGAGACGAUCCCAUUGCGGGGUAAAAGAGGGAAAGGGGCCAGGAGGCUUCCCUGGCUGACCGCAGAAAUACAGGGCAGCCUAAGGGCCAAAAGGGGAGCACAAAAAAAGUGGAAACAAGGAGAGAUCACCAAAGACGAAUAUACCUCCUCUGCUCGUGCUUGUAGGGAGGCAGUUAGACGGGCCAAAGCUACCAUGGAGCUGAGGAUGGCAUCCUAAGUAAAGGAUAAGAAGAAAAUGUUUUUUAGAUAUAUAGGGAGUAAAAGGAAGGCCCAGGAAGGAAUAGGACCCCUGCAAAAUGGGCAGAAACAAUUGGUGGCUGACAGGGGGGACAAGGCUGAACUCCUCAAUGACUUCUUUGCCUCAGUGUUCCUAAGUGAGAGGGAGGACAAGUCUCUCACUGGAGAGGUUGUAGAGAGGCAGCAGCAAGGCGCCAGACUUCCAUGUGUAGACCCUGAGAUGGUGCAGAGUCACUUGGAAGAACUGGAUGCCUUUAAGUUGGCAGGCCUGGAUGAGCUCCAUCCAAGGGUGCUGAAGGCACUGGCCGACAUCAUUGCAGAGCCACUGGCAGGAAUAUUCAAACGCUCGUGGCACAUGGGCCAAGUCCCGGAGGACUGGAAAAGGGCCAAUGUGGUCCCCAUUUUCAAGAAGGGGAGGAAGGAGGACCCGGGCAACUAUAGGCCAGUCAGUCUCACCUCCAUCCUUGGCAAAGUCUUUGAAAAAAUUAUCAAGGCUCAGGAGGCAGGUAACUGGAGGCUGGGUCCUCCAUGGAGAUGCUCCGGCUGCCAGAGCAUCUCUGUGGUUGGCCCCUUGCCCUGGUGCUGAAACACUCGGCUGGCCUGUCCUCAUGUUUCAGCACCAGGGCUCAGGUGCCAGUGAGUAAGGGGUCAGGGGGCUGGAGGAGGAGGGGACCGUGGGGGGGGCCCCAAUGGCCCUGUCCACUCCCCCAGGCCCCUGACCACUGCCGGGGCUGGCCCCUCCCCCCAGCAGUCCCCCCGAGGCCUCUAACCCUGGCUGGGGCUGGCCCCUCCCCCUACCAGCCUCCCUGAGGCCCCUCCCCCUGCCGGGGCUGGCCCCUCCCCCUGCCAGGCCUGGCCCCUCUCCCCACCAGCCCCCCUGAGGCCCCCUGACCCCUGCCCUGGCUGGCCCCAUCCCUCCAAGCCCUGUGCCCUCACCCCAUAAUUUAAAAAAAAUAAAACAAAAAGAACCCCGGUACUUACCUGUAGCUUGCUGCGUCUGGCUGACUGGGGCCCUGCCUGCACAGUGCCGGGCAGGGUGACAGCCCCAAUGGCCCCAGCCUAGGCCCUGCUGCCCCGGAAGCUCUGCCAGGAGGCUCUGGAGCCCCUGCCCCGCCCCCCUGCUUCUAAGGUAAGCAGAGCAUUUUUAUUUUCCACUUUUUCUGGGUUUUUUCUGUUUUGUUUUUUUUUUAAGUGCUGGCACCUGGGGU